AAGUCAUUAAAUCAAAGGUUUUACUGGUGAGGGUGAAUCCUGCAGAAGGAUCCAUUGAUUGAAUUGUUGAAAAUGGGGAGGAGUUUCGACUCUCCUCUACAUUCUUUAUUCCUAACACCUGUGAAUCGUUGCUGAGUUUGCUCAGUGGCAACAUUUUUUAUACACACAUAAUAGUUUAGAACGUAAAAAUAUAUAAUAAAAUACAA
rnacentral:misc_RNA from 1 species